GGGGAAUAUGUAGGCCUGUUCCUUCCCUCCUCCUUCCCAUUCACCACCAAAGCCGUAGGACAACAACUGAGGAACCGCCGGUGUCGUGGACAAGUUUUGGUGCCAUGGAUCGCUAGUGGAGAACCUCCCUGAUGUUCGCCGGGCCGAGUAGAAGCUAGGAAGACCACCAAUUCUGCGGUUGCCACUUGGGGGAGACCGGAAUUCGCCGUGGGCGGCCAACCACCACGGCGGAGCUUCGGUGCG
rnacentral:lncRNA from 7 species